UCCCUGGCAGUCCAGUGGUUAAGAUUUUGCACUUCCACUGCAAGGGGCACGGGUUUGAUUCCUGGUCAGGGAA
rnacentral:tRNA from 1 species